UACGACUACAUAUCAGGCAUAUCAAUAAGCGGAGGAAAAGAAACUAACUAGGAUUCCCUCAGUAACGGCGAGUGAAGCGGGAAGAGCUCAAAUUUGAAAUCUUCAAGGUUCUACCUUGACGAAUUGUAGUUUAAAGAAGUGUUUUCUGUUGGAGUUUUGGUAAAAGUUCUUUGGAAUAGGACAUCAUAGAGGGUGAGAAUCCCGUAUUUGACCAUUAUUUCCAGCUUUGUGAUACACUUUCAAAGAGUCGGAUUGUUUGGGAAUGCAGUCCAAAAUGGGUGGUAAAUUUCAUCUAAAGCUAAAUAUUGGCGAGAGACCGAUAGCGAACAAGUACCGUGAGGGAAAGAUGAAAAGAACUUUGAAAAGAGAGUUAAACAGUACGUGAAAUUGUCAAAAGGGAAGCGUUUGACACCAGUGUUGUUUAGUUGAAAAUCAAUUCAAUAGUUUUUGAUUCUAAGUAGUAUUGACUUCAUCAGCUUGCUGCUUUCUUCUCAGAAAUUAUUGAAUGCACUUUUCAGUUAACAAGUCAACAUCAAUUUCUUUUGUUGUAAAAGGGUAAGAGGAAGGUGGCUUGCGCUUCGGCUCAAGUGUUUAUAGCCUUUUAUCUCUGCAGUCGGAGAGAUUGAGGUCUGCAGCGUAGACUCUUCGGGGUUAGAUACGUCGGUGCUAAGCUAUAGCUUAUCAUAGACAACUUGUUGACUAUGUUUAGUCAUGUGGCUUACCCGCUGGCGCUAUUUUACCUACGCUUAGGAUGUUGAGCGCAUGUCUCUCUCU
rnacentral:rRNA from 1 species